AGAGGAUGAAUGAGUCUCUGAGUUUCCACAGGAAUAAAUGAGGCAGCAGCUCACAGGUGAUCUUACUUAACGAGACUAACGAGGAGCUGGAAGCGUUGGAGACCAUGCUGCUGCUACUGCUGGCUGUGCUGCUGUUUGUUCAGCUCCCUGAAGUCGACUGCGGUCCGAUACGAGAGGCCGAAGGAGCGCUUCAGAAGGACUGGUUUAGCAGGGUGGUGCACUAUAUGGACUCAAACCCAGAGACUUUAGAAGAACUGAUGACCAGGGACCACGCAGUGCUGGAAGGAGACAUUGUGCUGUCAAGUGACAGGAACGCAGCAGAGAACAUAUGGCCGACGCUGGAGAUACCAUACACCAUCAGCUGGGAGUUGGCGAGUCGGACGGGGGACAUCCUCUCUGCUAUGGCGAUGGUAUCCGAACAAACCUGUGUGUCCUUCCACAAGCGAACCUCUGAGACCAACUACCUGUUCUUCAAACCGAGCAAGGGGUACGGAAACCUUUAAUAUUUCAAAACGAAUGUCGGGCUGCAGCAACGACGAGUUUCAUUCUCUUGCAUAACCCUUUGGUCACCAUCGAUGACACACGUACAAUAUUGAUUAUGAACAGGAAUGUGGUGAUUGAUUGGCAAGAGCAAUUGGAGCAAUUAGUGGCUAAUGCUCAUUAAAGAAAUCUGAUAGAACCAGAAAAUAUUGAAAAGCUUCAGAUGCUUUUUAUUCUUCAUAAAAUCUUAAAAAUCCUGUUUCUGGACAGAUACAUCUUCAGUUAAGCAAACAGAGUAACGUUCUGUAAACUACCUUUCAUAAAAAAAAAAUGUAGUAGUAGUUUAACUUGAGGGUAUUUUUUUUCCAAUUUGCACCAAACUAUACAUAUCUGAUAGAAGUCCUGCCCCGAACAGUCAAUUUACAUCUCCUUCCUUUAUUGCUAAUUAACAGCAUGACUCUGUUACAACUCAGGAAACUCAGGAUUGUAUUAAACCAAAGUCAAAAUACCCAAUAAAUCAAGACAUGAAAAAAAACACAAAACUCAAAAGUAUCCAGAGAAUGAAUGAACUGACACAGAUCAAAACACUAAACACACAGCUGAAAAUAACCAAGAUUGGGGAAAAUGGACACAAGAAGUAAAGUAAAAAGACUCAAGAGGAGGAAAAUUACAAAAUAAAAUAGACCAAAGAAAACCCACUCUUGUCAAACUCUUUUCAAAAGUAAUAUUACUUUUAGUGCUGUCAAACGAUUAAAAUAAUUAAUUGCAAUUAAUCGCAAUGUCAUAGUUAACUUGCAAUUAAUCGCACAUUUUUAUCUAUUCUAAAUGUCCCUUGAUUUCUUUUUGUCCCAUUAUUAUAUAUUUUUUCUCAUUUUAAUGCUCUUAUCAACAUGGAAAAGUGGAUCAGCUUGCUUUGUGCAAAUGUUUUUUUUAAUUGAAAACAACACUGACAUAUACUGUAGUGUUCAAUUUCAUCCUAACAUUCUCACUUGGAGCAAAUAAUCUCUCACACAAUGUAACACUGUCCAUCAACAAAAGGGUGAAAAAAAAUACUUGUCAAUGGAACCAUUUGGCAACUUUCCAUUCAGAAUAUUAUUGGCAUCCAUUUUGGCGUCUCGCGCUCGCCAUCCACUCAAAACGUAACGUCUACUACUUUUAAACAAGUGUGUGCGGCGUGCCUGUUUUGUUUCUGGUCUAGCUAGAUCCGGUGUGGUGUUGUAGUUUUUCUAACAUUGCUAGUUGUUGCAACAGCAUGUAAAAAAAACUAAGUGUGCUACGCCAAAAAGAACAUUAAUCUUGUUAAAAUGGGUUUGCGUUAACGUUAACGCGUUUAAAUGACCGCACUAAUUACUUUACUUAUUACUCCCUGCUAACGAGGUUUGGCAGAGCGUUUAUUAAACUCAAACUAAAGGACACACAGACGUUAGCUGCAUUUGGUUUUAUCUUUUGGGUAAUUUUCAUGCUAACUGGCUAGCUAGCUAAUGUUAGCUACCUUGUGCGCAUAUAUUACCCAUAUUUCUGCAAGUAAUGUAAACCAUCGAGCAGUAAUUCAGUGAACUCAUUGCUACCACUUAAAUAAACGCAUUAAUGCAAGAUAAGUUAUAAUUUACUAACUUAUUAAAUUAAAAUUUAACUUUUUUUUUUUUUUUUUUAAGUUGUAUUGACAAAAAUGAAGUGGAAACUACUUUGGAACCCAAUCAAUUUAAAAACUUCAUGAAUUGGUGAUUAAAAAUACAAUUUUGAUUGACUUACUAGCUUUUAAUUUCAAAUGGUUUACGUGUUUAUUUUUAAAUUGUUUGUUUUUAAUCAGAAUGUUGCA
rnacentral:lncRNA from 15 species